AUUGAACGCUGGCGGCAGGCUUAACACAUGCAAGUCGAGCGGAGAGAGGUAGCUUGCUACUGAUCUUAGCGGCGGACGGGUGAGUAAUGCUUAGGAAUCUGCCUAUUAGUGGGGGACAACAUUUCGAAAGGAAUGCUAAUACCGCAUACGUCCUACGGGAGAAAGCAGGGGAUCUUCGGACCUUGCGCUAAUAGAUGAGCCUAAGUCGGAUUAGCUAGUUGGUGGGGUAAAGGCCUACCAAGGCGACGAUCUAUAGCGGGUCUGAGAGGAUGAUCCGCCACACUGGGACUGAGACACGGCCCAGACUCCUACGGGAGGCAGCAGUGGGGAAUAUUGGACAAUGGGCGGAAGCCUGAUCCAGCCAUGCCGCGUGUGUGAAAAAGGCCUUAUGGUUGUAAAGCACUUUAAGCGAGGAGGAGGCUACUUUAGUUAAUACCUAGAGAUAGUGGACGUUACUCGCAGAAUAAGCACCGGCUAACUCUGUGCCAGCCGCCGCAGUAA
rnacentral:rRNA from 1 species